AUGGGUAGAAUCAAUGUCAACCCUAUUUGGGGGAAGAUUUGGAAAUUGCCUUGUCCAGGAAAGGUAAAAAUCUUUAUUUGGCGUACGUUGCAUGGUACCCUCCCAUGUCGUGUUACACUGGCCAAUAGACACAUGAAGGUCUCGCCUAUAUGCCCCUCAUGCACGAAUGAACCGGAAGACACGAAACACGUAUUGUUCCUCUGUCAUAAGGCAAAAGAGGUUUGGAACAAACUCAGGAUGUGCAGGGUGAUUAAAGAAGCAUGUGCUAUUGAUAGGGCAAGAGAAGCAAUCCUACAAUUUUUACUUCUCAAGCCACAUAAUGAAAUAGCUACUCUAGGAAUCCAGAAUGUACGUGAACUAAUAGCUAUAACCGCUUGGUAUUUGUGGUGGGAUAGACGUAGGCUGGUUCAUGAAGGUAAGGCUCAAAACACACAACAAUCCUCCAUGGGGAUUAGGGCAAUAACAAGAAACUAUGUAAAUGCCCAUUUCCCUAAUGCAUCUAUUAAAAAGGAGGAUGGAGCAAACCUUCUCUGGGACUUGUUAAGCUGA
rnacentral:rRNA from 1 species